rnacentral:ncRNA from 1 species
UGUCUCCUCCACCUCCUCUGGUGGAUUGAGCCCGGUGCCCCAAGCAUCGGGCUUUUUUUU